UUUAUCAGAUGAUGAUAAAUAAAUAAAUAAAUAUAAUCUUAGGACACCUUCUUACACGGCUACAAAGUUGUGGAUGAGAGAGAGUGAAUUCUGAUGAUGAU
rfam:Picea glauca, whole genome shotgun sequence.